rnacentral:lncRNA from 1 species
CCUUGCGUCUGACCUCUUUGGGUCACCAUAUUUGUGAAAUCAUUCCACAUCGUAGUUUGACAUUACAGCUGGCUCAUUCUUGAGUUAUAUGAUGCUCCUUUUUUUUUUCAUUUUUUAAAGUUUUAUUGUAGUAUAGUUGAUUUACAAUUUGAUAAUUUCUGCUAUGCAACAAAGUGAUUCAGUCAUACACAUAUACAUAUCCUUCUCUUUCAGAUUCUUUUCCCACAUAGAUUAUCACAGAAUAUUGGGUAGAGUUCUCUGUGUUAUAUAGCAGGUCCCCAUUGGCCAGUCAUUCCAUAUACCUCAGUGUGCAUAUGUCAAUCCCAAACCCCCAGUCCAUCUCUCCCCCUCCAGCCUGUCCCCUUUGGUAACCAUAACUUUGUUUUCGAAGUCUAUGAGUCUGUUUUUAUUCUGUAGACAAGUUCAUGUGUAUCUUUUUUUAAGAUUCCAUAUAUAAGUGAUAUCAUAUGAUGUUUGUCUUUCACUCUCUGACUAACUUAAGAUGAUAACCUCUAGGUCCAUUCAUGUUGCUGCAGACAGCAUGAAUUCAUUCUUUUUAUGGCUGAGUAAUAUUCCAUUGUAUAUAUGUGCCACAUCUUCUUUAUCCAUUCCUCUGUUAAUGGAUAUUUAGGUUGCUUCCAUGUCUUUAAAAAUAGAACUACCAUAUGAUCCAGCAAUCCCACUCCUGGGCAUCUAUCCAGAGAAAACCAUAAUUCAAAAAGAUACAUGCACCCCAGUGUCCUUUGCAGCACUGUUUAUAGUAUUUCUAUUUUUCUGAAUAAGCAAAUUUGCCCUGACGUCACUCUUUACUCAGACCUGGUAUUUUUCAAUAUCUAGUUUUCUAGUUUCUAUUUUAAGACUUUAACUAAGAUUGCUGUCCUCUCGAGUGGUUCCCAGCAAAAAUGACCAUGUCAGUGUUGAAAUAUUGGUGAAUAGAUAAACCUACACAGGCAUAAUGUCUCUACUUCAGCAGAUGUGAUUUGAUAUAACAGUCAGUUUCAUAUAUCAUGCCAAGGACAUCUCAGCCCAUGGAGAGAAUUUUAUUUUAUUUAUUUAUUUAUUUUGUUACAACCACACCUACAUCAUAUGGAAGUUCUGGGGCUAGGGGUCAAAUUGGAGCUACAGCUGCUGGCCUAAGCCACAGCCAUAGCAAAGCAGGAUCCAAGCCACAUCUGCGACCUAGGCUGCAGUCUGAGGCAAUGCCAAAUCCUUUACCCACUGAGCAAGGCCAGGGAUCGAACCUGAAUCCUCAUGGACACUAUGUUGGGUUCUUAACCCAAUGACCCACAAUGGGAACUUCACCCAUAAAGAGAAUUUUAUUCUCAAGGAAAACCUUAGAGCAGUGGUUCUCAAACUUCAGCUCAUUGCUGGGUCCCCUCACCUGGUCUCUGAUUUGCUGGUCUACCCUUUCUAACAGGCUCCCAGGUGAUGCUGACACUGUAGGUCUAAGGACCACAUUUUGAGAACCACGGCCUUAGAGCCUGCAAAUUAAGCUUUGUUUCUAUUCCUUUCCCAUAUCCCAUACAUUCCCUCCUACCGUGCGUUUGUUUCUCAAAAUCCUUGGAAUCAACCAGGUAGCGGUUUAGUGCUGUUGUCAAACUUACCACCCACAUCAUUAACAUCCGUCCACUAACACCCAUACUUCAUUUGGAGCUCAUACUUCAUCUGUGCUUGAUCGGCUUGCCUUUCAGUGAGCCUAACUAGUUUGUCAGCUCCUUUAAGGCAUCUGUCCCUGUACUUGUCUAUAUCUGGGCAGUCCCUAGCAGGGAGUCCUUUGGGCACUGCUGAACUCACAUCCUAUAUUCUCUGCUGCCCACUGAGAUAGUCCAGGUACCCCCUGCCUCUCACCUGUGCAUGCUUUGUUCUUCCGUCUACAUCCGUAUAAAAUGAGGCUCUGGUACUUGCCGUUGUGAGACCAGGGCUGUUCUAACAAUAACCUGUGGUCAUGUCAUGACUGAUUCCCCAAAAGGCAUUACGUUCAUGCUCUACAAAGUAUACUUCGCAACUGAAGUGUUUUUUAAACUUGGCACCUAUUGGCACCACCUAGAGAAUUUUUUUAAAUAUGUCUGGGUCCCACCAAAGAGGUUCACGUCUAACGUGGACUUCGUGAUGUGGACUGUAGUCUGGGAGAGAGAUUGUGCAAAACUCCCAGGUGAUCCUAAUACAUAGAAAAGUUUUAGAGCUUCUGAAGUAUCUCGUUUUUCUGAUGAAUUUCAGGAGAGCCCAUUAUUUCCCCCCAGAGGGUUUUUUGCUUUAUUUCUGUGCCUCCCAUGGAGGCUUUCGUUUUGAAUUUUGCUUCCUUAAACAAGAAAAUGUAAUGAACUGUUAUUUACAUGUUGCACAAAGCAUUAAAUUAAUUCCAAGUCUUGGAUAAACUUGCUCUAAGCUAGAAAUAAAAAAUAAUAAACUCUGCUGAGUUCUGUAUUUCCUGUCUCCAUUUAGCUGGUCCAUAAGGACUUGGCAGGAAAGAGUUUGUUGUUCCUGUAAUUAAUGACUAGAACAGGAUUGUUUGGAGUAAAUGAUUCGUUUUGAAACAGUCCUCUAAUUUCCAGGGACAUUUUCCCAUUGUAAAACAAUUAUACAUAAAAAAACAAAAGUAGCCCUCAAAUACCAAGAUUUAUAACAGCACCAUGUCAUUCCAAACGUAAUGACCUCGUGUCUACCACCCCAGUGGUUUGGAAAAUAAAACAGAUUGAUUGCAGUCUAAUGCAGCUCCUUGAAAAUAGCUUAAAUUUGAUCAGUUAGAAACUGGUUGUUUCCAACCUAACUGAUGU